AAUGUCGCGUGAAUGAAGAAGGCCCUUGGGUCGUAAAGCUCUUUUAUGGGGGAAGAUGAUGACGGUACUCCAAGAAUAAGCACCGGCUAACUAUGUGCCAGCAGCCGCGGUAAUACAUAGGGUGCGAGCGUUGUUCGGAAUUACUGGGCGUAAAGGGCGCGCAGGCGGAAUAGUAAGUCGGAGGUGAAAGCCCGGGGCUCAACCCCGGAGGGUCUUUCGAAACUGCUAAUCUAGAGAGGGUCAGGGGCCGGCAGAAUUCCUGGUGUAGAGGUGAAAUUCGUAGAUAUCAGGAGGAAUACCGGUGGCGAAGGCGGCCGGCUGGGGCCACUCUGACGCUGAGGCGCGAAAGCGUGGGGAGCAAACAGGAUUAGAUACCCUGGUAGUCCACGCCGUAAACGAUGAGCACUGGAUGUCCGGAGGGUUCGACCCUUCUGGGUGUCUCAGCUAACGCAUUAAGUGCUCCGCCUGGGGAGUACGGUCG
rnacentral:rRNA from 1 species